GCGCAGCAGGCGCGAAUCCUUCGCAAUGCGGGAAACCGCGACGAGGGGACUCCCAGUGCCUACGCUCAGCGUAGGCUGUUCCCGAGCCUAGAAAGCUCGGGGAGUAAGGGCUGGGUAAGACGGGUGCCAGCCGCCGCGGUAAUACCCGCAGCCCGAGUGGUGGCCACUAUUAUUGGGCCUAAAGCGUCCGUAGCCGGCCCGGUAAAUGCCUGGGUAAAUCGUGAGGCCUAACCUCACGAAUUCCGGGUAGACUGCCGGGCUAGGGACCGGAGGAGGGAGAGGGGUACUCCAGGGGUAGGGGUGAAAUCCUGUAAUCCCUGGAGGACCACCGGUGGCGAAGGCGCUCUCCUAGGACGGGUCCGACGGUGAGGGACGAAAGCCAGGGGAGCGAACCGGAUUAGAUACCCCUGUAGU
rnacentral:rRNA from 1 species